GACGAACGCUGGCGGCGUGCUUAACACAUGCAAGUCGAACGGAAAGGCCCUGCUUUUGUGGGGUGCUCGAGUGGCGAACGGGUGAGUAACACGUGAGUAACCUGCCCUUGACUUUGGGAUAACUUCAGGAAACUGGGGCUAAUACCGGAUAGGAGCUCCUGCUGCAUGGUGGGGGUUGGAAAGUUUCGGCGGUUGGGGAUGGACUCGCGGCUUAUCAGCUUGUGGGUGGGGUAGUGGCUUACCAAGGCUUUGACGGGUAGCCGGCCUGAGAGGGUGACCGGCCACAUUGGGACUGAGAUACGGCCCAGACUCCUACUGGAGGCAGCAGUGGGGAAUAUUGCACAAUGGGCGGAAGCCUGAUGCAGCAACGCCGCGUGCGGGAUGACGGCCUUCGGGUUGUAAACCGCUUUCGCCUGUGACGAAGCGUGAGUGACGGUAAUGGGUAAAGAAGCACCGGCUAACUACGUG
rnacentral:rRNA from 1 species